UACGUAGGGGGCAGCGUGUCCGGAUUUAUUGGGCGUAAAGAGCGUGUAGGCGGCCAAAUAGGUCGGUUGUGAAAACUGGAGGCUUAACCUCCAGACGUCGACCGAAACCAUCUGGCUAGAGUCCGGAAGAGGAGAGUGGAAUUCCUGGUGUAGCGGUGAAAUGCGCAGAGUAUCAGGAGGAACACCAAUUGCGAAAGGCAGCUCGCUGGGACGUAACUGACGCUGAGACGCGAAAGCGUGGGGAGCAAACAGG
rnacentral:rRNA from 1 species